rnacentral:pre_miRNA from 14 species
AGCAGUGCUUUACGUAGUAUAGUGCUUUUCACAUUACACAAAAAGUGAAAGGUGCCAUACUAUGUACAGGAAGGCUUA